GGAUAGCUCAGUCUGUACACAGCAUGAGAGUCUUAAUUUCAGGGUGGUGGGUUCCAGCCCCACCUUGAACA